rnacentral:rRNA from 1 species
GAUUCUGGCUCAGGAUGAACGCUGGCAGUGUGCCUUAGACAUGCAAGUCGAACGAAGCGCUCUCACCUGAUCCCUUCGGGGUGAGUGGUGGGGGUGACUUAGUGGCGAACGGGUGAGUAUCACGUGGGUGACCUGCCCUCGAGUGCGGCAUAACAGGGGGAAACUCCUGCUAAUAUCGCAUGGUCUCGCUCCUUUUUUGGGGUGUGAGUAAAGGAACUUGUUUCCGCUCGAGGAUGGGCCCGCGGCCCAUCAGCUUGUUGGUAGGGUAAUGGCCUACCAAGGCGACGACGGGUAGCCGACCUGAGAGGGUGAUCGGCCACAGGGGCACUGAGAUACGGGCCCCACUCCUACGGGAGGCAGCAGUUAGGAAUCUUCCACAAUGGGGGGCCAACCCUGAUGGAGCGACACUGCGUGAAGGAUGAAGGCCUUCGGGUUGUAAACUUCUAAUAGAGGGACGAAAGUUGACGGUACCUCUUGAUUAGCACCGGCUAACUCCGUGCCAGCCGCCGC